rnacentral:tRNA from 1 species
GUUGGGCAAGUAGGAGAAUUCCACUUAUGAUUACGAAUCGUAGGAAGGCUGAGG